GGGCUUGUAGCUCAGUUGGUAGAGCGUUCGCUUAGCAUCUCAAAUGCGAGAGGUCCAGGGUUCGAUUCCCUGCAAGUCCA